rnacentral:rRNA from 1 species
GACGAGGGAUCCUAGCGUUGCUCGGAAUCAUUGGGCGUAAAGCGGGUGUAGGUGGCUUGACAAGUCAGGUGUGAAAGCCCAGGGCUCAACCCUGGAAGUGCAUUUGAAACUGUCGAGCUUGAGUGCUAGAGAGGUUAUUAGAAUACCUGGUGUAGUGGUGAAAUACGUAGAUAUCAGGAGGAACACCGGUGGCGAAGGCGGGUCUCUGGGUAGUAACUGACGCUGAGGAACGAAAGCGUGGGUAGCGAACAGG